AUUACUGCUCAAAAUAUUUUGGUUAUAUACAUUAUUUUUUUAAAUUGAGUGUCUUUAAAUAGGGUAGUGGUAUUAUAUAAUGUGGAUAUAUCACACUGUAAUGUUAGCAUUAGUUAGCAGUGAAAGGUUUCCAAGAAAAGAGAGCCUAAAGUCCAGAACAUGUGGACAUGUUGACAUUCUUACAUUACAACACAUGUCUAACAGACGUUUGAUUCCAAUAUUUGAGUUGGACUUUGAGCUGGACACCAUUGUCCCUUACACGCUAAACAUGUUGCACUUUGUUUAAUAUGCAGACCUAACUUUUUUUUUACUUUGAUAAUGGGUUUAAUAGAAACUUGGAUUUAUUUUGGAGUUGCACUACUGACUUAAAUAAUAAGCCUUUUUUUUUCUCCAACAUUAUUUUUAUCAUGUUGGAGUUGCCAGUUUAAACUUACAGUUUUGCACUUUAAUAUGUAAACCUUUGUUUACAUUUUGUUUUGUGCUGCAUUAUACAAUGGCAUAUACAGUUUGUUGUUGUCAAAAUAAAAGGCACUUAAAUGAAAUGGUCAAUUAGAUUUUUUGGAGGAAAAUUAAUUGUUUAGAUUAAUUGACUAAUUGGUAAAAUAGUCGAUAGAUUAAUCAGUAGAAAAAUUAGUGGCAGCCCUAGUUCUGCGUAUCCACCCUUAGAUUUGACGCACUUGUGAUCAAGUUCCUAAAGGAGUUUUUGAUCCAGGACAUGUAUAGUUCCUAUCAAUCUAUUCAAUCUCUCAGUAUUUCAUAGUAAACUAAAAAAGAGCAAAUCCAUUUUAGAUUUUUUGCCUAGACAAUUGCAUGUGUGGCACUUUAUUUCUUAAAUUAAGAUAUAAUCAAAUUUUAGUAUUUUAAAUGGUGCAAAUGUCUUGCUUCAUUUAAGCCAUUUUCCAAGUCUCUGUGAUGCUCACAGCUGGAGUUAUAAAGUUUUAAGUAGGAUACCCCCUAAAUGGGCAAGGAUUGGCCAGAUUUGGUAUGUGCGCAAAGGGGUGCACUAAUUAAGAGGGUGCUAUUUUUAGAUGCUGGUGUCUAACGGGGGGUUUAAGAAAUUAAAUCACGGCACGUAAGACUACUGCAUUCUGACACUUCGUUUUCAGCAUUAUUAUUAUUCCAAAAUGCCAUUGCGAAACUUGAAAAAAUAAGAAAUCAAUAGUUACUAAAAUAUAUAGCUACUGUUACAAGCUAUAAAUUUACAGGUGCAGAGUAAACUUGGCCAGCCACCUAGCUGGUUAGCAAUAAUCUGAAAGUGUGACCUACAUCUAAAGCUAGACUCUUAUGGCUUAGGGUUUGUAUCCUAAACUAGUGUAUGUUGUGUGGUGUAAAGGUGUGUGUAUAAAUUCAAUAAAAGAAAACACACACAAAACAUCCUCCCAUCUACCAAGGCAGACCCCCCCCCCCCCCCUUACUGGCUGAGAGGAAGAUGUCCCUGUGCCUCCAGUAUGCCUGACCAAUGCUGUUAUGGCUUGUUUCUCCUUUCCACUUAUAAGUUUAGGUGAAAUUAAAACACACGCAAACAAGUGACCAACAAGGGGGAAAAAAGAAAAUGCACCCAAGGGCAAGGCAGCACACUGAUGGAGAAGCAGGCAUUCAACAGGCCCAGUCGAUAUAAUGGAAGACUCCGACACACACAAGACGAGGGGCAAGGAACACGGGGGAAACUCAACAACAACUACAAGAGAGGCUAUACACAACAAAACUGUACAAGCACACGUAACACGGAUACCUACACUUUUAACACACAAAAGCACGCUAACUACACCUAGCUACACACAGCUAUACACAAGCAAGUAUUUACAUGGCGCCAGCGACAGCAAUCGUAGUUAGCUGCCUAGCUAGCUACCCCGGGUCGCCACAUAAUGUAUCUAUCUAGCUAGCUAGCUAAUGCAGUGUACAGUCUUGGCGAAUGCUUUGUGGGAAAUAAAUAUACAUGUACUCAAAAAACACAAGCCCAUUGCAUUGGGAAAGAUAUGUAGUUAGAGAGCACAGGCCCAGUGUACAUGAGAAAGGAAUGUAUUAAUGAGCACUAGCUGUCUCCUCCCUGACGUAUCAUCCGGCUAGCAAAAGAGGAAGGAUGCAGGUGGACCAAGGUCGACCUUAGCCAUAAGAUUAACAACCGGCAGCAGGGAAGCACUUCAUACUAAAAUAGGUGCGAUUAGAACAAACACGUAAUGCACACAUGAUUUCUGCCCUGCUAAUUAAGCUGUAUACAAGCACAUCUGUGGAACUAACGGAAGCUUCUGCCUUUUCCGGAAUAUGUAUUGUCAGAAUAUGUGAUUUAUGAUAGAAGGGGGAGGGAGAUUCAAGUGGGAGACGAGCACUAUCAUUUU